rnacentral:rRNA from 1 species
GCGGUGGAGCAUGUGGUUAAUUCGAAGCAACGCAAGAACCUUACCAGGCCUUGACAUGCAGAGAACUUUCCAGAGAUGGAUUGGUGCCUUCGGGAACUCUGACACAGGUGCUGCAUGGCUGUCGUCAGCUCGUGUCGUGAGAUGUUGGGUUAAGUCCCGUAACGAGCGCAACCCUUGUCCUUAGUUACCAGCACGUUAUGGUGGGCACUCUAAGGAGACUGCCGGUGACAAACCGGAGGAAGGCGGGGAUGACGUCAAGUCAUCAUGGCCCUUACGGCCUGGGCUACACACGUGCUACAAUGGUCGGUACAAAGGGUUGCCAAGCCGCGAGGUGGAGCUAAUCCCAUAAAACCGAUCGUAGUCCGGAUCGCAGUCUGCAACUCGACUGCGUGAAGUCGGAAUCGCUAGUAAUCGUGAAAUCAGAAUGUCACGGUGAAUACGUUCCCGGGCCUU